GCCUUCCUAGCUCAAAGGUAGAGCGUUGCACUUGUAUCAACACUCUCUGACAAGUUACAUGCAAAGGUCAGUCGUUCAAUCCGGCUAGGAGGCA